rnacentral:rRNA from 1 species
GACGAACGCUGGCGGCGUGCUUAACACAUGCAAGUCGAACGGUAAGGCUCCAGCUUGCUGGGGUACACGAGUGGCGAACGGGUGAGUAACACGUGGGUGACCUGCCCUGCACUUCGGGAUAAGCCUGGGAAACUGGGUCUAAUACCGGAUAGGACCGCACCGUGAGGGUGUGGUGGAAAGUUUUUUCGGUGUGGGAUGGGCCCGCGGCCUAUCAGCUUGUUGGUGGGGUAAUGGCCUACCAAGGCGGCGACGGGUAGCCGGCCUGAGAGGGUGGACGGCCACAUUGGGACUGAGACACGGCCCAGACUCCUACGGGAGGCAGCAGUGGGGAAUAUUGCACAAUGGGCGGAAGCCUGAUGCAGCGACGCCGCGUGGGGGAUGACGGCCUUCGGGUUGUAAACUCCUUUCACCAUCGACGAAGGGUUUCUGACGGUAGAUGGAGAAGAAGCACCGGCUAACUACGUGCCAGCAGCCGCGGUAAUACGUAGGGUGCGAGCGUUGUCCGGAAUUACUGGGCGUAAAGAGCUCGUAGGUGGUUUGUCGCGUCGUCUGUGAAAUUCCGGGGCUUAACUCCAGGCGUGCAGGCGAUACGGGCAUAACUUGAGUACUGUAGGGGAGACUGGAAUUCCUGGUGUAGCGGUGAAAUGCGCAGAUAUCAGGAGGAACACCGGUGGCGAAGGCGGGUCUCUGGGCAGUAACUGACGCUGAGGAGCGAAAGCAUGGGGAGCGAACAGGAUUAGAUACCCUGGUAGUCCAUGCCGUAAACGGUGGGCGCUAGGUGUGGGUUUCCUUCCACGGGAUCCGUGCCGUAGCUAACGCAUUAAGCGCCCCGCCUGGGGAGUACGGCCGCAAGGCUAAAACUCAAAGGAAUUGACGGGGGCCCGCACAAGCGGCGGAGCAUGUGGAUUAAUUCGAUGCAACGCGAAGAACCUUACCUGGGCUUGACACAUACAGGAUCGCGCCAGAGAUGGUGUUUCCCUUGUGGCUUGUAUACAGGUGGUGCAUGGUUGUCGUCAGCUCGUGUCGUGAGAUGUUGGGUUAAGUCCCGCAACGAGCGCAACCCUUGUCUUAUGUUGCCAGCACGUUGUGGUGGGGACUCGUAAGAAACUGCCGGGGUUAACUCGGAGGAAGGUGGGGAUGACGUCAAAUCAUCAUGCCCCUUAUGUCCAGGGCUUCACACAUGCUACAAUGGUCGGUACAGUGGGUCGCCAGUCCGUGAGGGCGAGCUAAUCCCGCAAAGCCGGUCUCAGUUCGGAUCGGGGUCUGCAACUCGACCCCGUGAAGUCGGAGUCGCUAGUAAUCGCAGAUCAGCAACGCUGCGGUGAAUACGUUCCCGGGCCU